GUCCCUUUAGCGCAAUUGAUAACACGUUGGACGUAUAAUCCAAAGUCGUGGGUUCGGAUCCCACCAGGGAUG